rnacentral:rRNA from 1 species
AUGGUAGGAUAGAGGCCUACCAUGGUGGUAACGGGUAACGGGGUGUUAGGGCACGACACCGGAGAGGGAGCCUGAGAAACGGCUACCACAUCCAAGGAUGGCAGCAGGCGCGCAAAUUACCCAAUCCCGACACGGGGAGGUAGUGACAAUAAAUAACAAUACGGGGUUCUUUAGGAUCUCGUAAUUGGAAUGAGUACAAUUUAAAUCUCUUAACGAGGAACAAUUGGAGGGCAAGUCUGGUGCCAGCAGCCGCGGUAAUUCCAGCUCCAAUAGCGUAUAUUAAAGUUGUUGCAGUUAAAAAGCUUGUAGUUGAAUUUNGGGGUCAGUAGGUCGGUCGUGCCACUGGUAUGAACUGGUUUUACUGAUUCCUCCCUCUUGAAGAACUGUAAUGCCAUUAAUUUGGUGUUGCAGGGAAUCAGGACUGUUACUUUGAAAAAAUUAGAGUGUUUAAAGCAGGCUUUAGCUUGAAUACAUUAGCAUGGAAUAAUGAAAUAGGACGUUUGAUCCUAUUUUGUUGGUUUCUAGGAUUGACGUAAUGAUUAAUAGGGAUAGUUGGGGGCAUUAGUAUUCAAUUGUCAGAGGUGAAAUUCUUGGAUUUAUUGAAGACUAACUACUGCGAAAGCAUUUGCCAAGGAUGUUUUCAUUAAUCAAGAACGAAAGUUAGGGGAUCGAAGACGAUCAGAUACCGUCGUAGUCUUAACCAUAAACUAUGCCGACUAGGGAUCGGAUGAUGUUAAUUUUUUAAUGACUCAUUCGGCGCCUUACGGGAAACCAAAGUGUUUGGG